GGAACGAAGAAGGUAACGCGAUUUAGAUCCCUAGGGUUUCAGAUUUGGGUAUAAUGAGUUCAUAUAAGGUUCACGUGAGUUCACGUGAUACUCACGUGCUUCCCUCUCUCCUCAUAUCUCCUUUUUCUCUCCAACUAGACGUCCACGUAAGCCUCCUCCAUUAAGAAAUAAACGGUAGGACUAACGUUGCACACGACCUACAACGUCGGGGACCAUCCAUGUAAUUAAAUUAGGUGGGGGACCAAAAUCGUGGCAUUGGUAAACGUCGGGGACCAAAGUUGUAAUUAAGCCAACCUUUUUUAUUCGCUAUUUUUCAAACAGCUUUGGUAUAUACAACACUUUCAAUUCGUUUUUCAUAUUUAGCCACUGAUUCUUCUCAAUAUUUCAUUUCAGUCUCCGUUCUUAGCAUGUUGGGUCGUUCUUCAAUUUUGUCUUAUUCCAUUCAGGAUGUGGGAUUGCAGAGGCAAAUGAGUAUCACUUUAUUUGAACUUCAGACCAAGUCAAUUCAAAGGAUUUUGGAGAGUUUUGUUUAUGUCGUUGAAUGCUAAAAUGAUCAGUGAGUAAACCCUGCACAUUGGAUUGUUCUAAUGAGAAAAAGUAGCACUAAGACUGAAGACUUCAAUGU